UAAAAUAAAAUUUGUAUCAAAUGAGGUAUUCAUAAAUCAACCAAGAAAAACCAAAUAAAUUUAGAUCUAAGAGAACUCAUCCAAGAAAAACAGAGGGAGGAGAUGUGCGGGGUGACUAGGGCGGCGACGUGAGGCUGGAACGGUAGUGAAGUGCGCAUGUCGGUGGGAAGUUUGGGUGGUGUGGGAUGAAGAUGGAAAAAAAAUGAGAAUGGGAAGGGAAGGAAAAGGGAAAUAGAGGGAGAAGAAGAGGGGACGAUGGCAACAAAUAGCUAGGACGACGACAUGGACUAGAACUGCAGGGGAAGGAGGCUGUCGGCAAGAAGUUUAAGCGGUGGUGUGAUGAAAAUGCAAAAAUGAUAAGAAGAAAGUGAGGAAAAGAAAAGUGAAGGAAAAGGAAAAUAGAGGGAGGAGAAGAGGAGAAAGAAAAUGAAUUCUCACCUGCUGCAUUUGAAGGUUCUGGUUGUUUAGACUUCUUAUCCUUCCCAUUUUGCUUUCUUUUGAGAGACAAGCAGUCCUUUUUCCAGUGUCUUUCUUUAUGACAGUGAGGAGAGUUCAAUCAAGAAGAAAAGAGGCAGAGGAGGAAGACAAUUUCUAAGAUAGAUUAAUCAAGAAUUGAUGAAGAAGGUAAAGAGAGAUCGAGAGAGAACAUAAAGUUUAAGUGGUUCGGCUAUCAACCUACAUCCACUGUGCAAAAGGAGAAAUCAACUUUAUUCAAGAAGAAGAAUUACAAGUUUGAUGGAAUCCCGUUGAAGCUGAUUCAAUGAAGCAAUUCCUAACGGUCGGUCGGUUGCCUUGAAGCUUUGUCGUUUUGUUUUGUGUCUUUGCCGAAAACCACAAGUGUGUCAAUCCUCAGGAUUGUGGAAAUUCUUUGUUGUAGAUUUUGAGGUGUUUCUAUAGAUCAUCUUGAAGUAUGAUUCGUUACUUAAGAAGGAAUUCUCAAACUUAGGAGAAGUCUAAGCUCAUCAAGUGGAGCGGUUUUCAUUUGAAGGUGGAAAGAUAGAAGUUGAGAGGGAGUCUCUCAUACUUAGGGGGAGCCUAAGUGAUUAUUCACUAAUAUUCUUAUUCUUAGGGGGAACCUAAGUACAUGGAUGGUGGAGCCUAAAUUUCAUUGAGAGAGAGUCUCACAUUUAGGAGAAAUCUAAGUGAUCUUGCAAGAAGUUAAGGUAUUUGUGUGUCAUUGUAAUCACUGUCUUUAUAGAUAAGUACAAUGUUGUAAUUACUUAACAUUAUAUUAGUGAAAAUAUCUUUCCACAAACACACUGCUGUCUAAACA